rnacentral:rRNA from 1 species
ACGCUCGACACCUACGGGAAGCAGCAGUGAGGGAUAUUGGUCAAUGGGGGAAACCCUGAACCAGCAACGCCGCGUGAGGGAUGACGGUCUUCGGAUUGUAAACCUCUGUCCUCUGUGAAGAUAAUGACGGUAGCAGAGGAGGAAGCUCCGGCUAACUACGUGCCAGCAGCCACGGUAAUCUGAGCGGGCUGGCAAGGC